AGUCUGACCUGCCCAAUGAUAUAAUUAAAUGGCCGCGAUAUCUUGAUCGUGCAAAGGUAGCAUAAUAAUUAGUUUUUUAAUUGAGAACUGGAAUGAAAGGUCGAACGAGAAAAUAACUGUCUCAGUUUAAAUUUAAAUUAGAAUUUUAUUUUUAGGUAAAAAAGCUUAAAUGAUUUUAAAAGACGAGAAGACCCUAUAGAGUUUAAUAUUAAUAAUUUUUUUUUUAUUUUUAGAAUUUAAUUUUAAAAUUAAUUAGUGAAUAUUUAAUUGGGGUGAUUGAAAAAUUUAAUAAACUUUUUUUAUAUUUUAUCAUUAAUUUAUGAUUAAAUGAUCCAUAUUUUAUGAUUAAAAGAUUAAAUUACCUUAGGGAUAACAGCGUAAUUUUUUUUGAGAGUUCUUAUCGAAAAAAUAGAUUGCGACCUCGAUGUUGGAUUAAAAUUAAUUUAUGGUGUAGGAGCUAUAAAAAUUAGGUCUGUUCGANCUUUAAAAUUUU
rnacentral:rRNA from 1 species